GGGCCGGCCGUGCAAUGGUGAGCUCAACGGGCUGUAAACCCGCCGUCUAUGACUGUGGUGGUUCAAAUCCAUCCCGGCCCACCA
rnacentral:tRNA from 1 species